UACAAGGUGAAGGGUUUAUUCAAGUCUGUCGGGCUCAAGGCCGGAGCUGACAGGAGGGCAGGAGGGCUUGCUUAAACUUGUUGAAGGCAAGCUGCUGUUCGUCUCCCCAUUUAAAUGGGACAUUUGCCUUGGUGAGAGGAUAGAGGGGUUCUGCAAGCUCCUCGAAUCCAGGAAUCCAUAGCCGGCAGAAGCCUGCACUGCCUAAGAACUCCCGUACUUCACAGGCAGUAGUGGGAGGCGGGAUCAGAGCAACAGCCUGCUUGCGCCCCGCUAUGAGCCAGCUCUGAGCAUCUUCUAAGAGGUACCCCAGACCUGCUAAAAGAGUCUGGCACUAGAAACAGAGUCGCUCCCUACCAGCAAGUGUAUUGUAAUCCCAGUUCAGGCCGGUCAACGGGAACACUUCCUUGAUUUCAUUAGGCAGCUGGGUCGGUCUGCCAUCUGCCCCAAGGACGUUUUAUUGUGCUGCAAGGAUGACAUGCUGUUUUUCUUUGGUGGUGAGGAGGACCUGUAAGAGUUGCUGACAAUCAUCCCAGAUUAUUUUAAGAAAUUUAUAGGAGAGACUGUGUCCAUCUACAUAACAGAUCCUGACCCUGGAUACAGAAAGCAAUGUGUAUCAUCCAGCAGGAAGUGAUGGAAAUGGCAGUCACUGGUCCUCCCUGCUUCAUCAUGCACACACUCUGGGAAGAUUAUUGAUGUAUCAUCUAAAAUAAUAGACAACAGAUCGUCAUGGGUGUGUAUCUACUACAGCUCUGCUACUUGGGGGAAGCUGUUUAUCCCAUCAUUAGGUUGAAUAUGUGAUUUCCCAGCUUCCUGCUCUUGAAGCCAGCUGCUGUGCUUCCACCUGUCAUUAUGGACUGUCCUUUUGAAACUGUAAACCAAAAUAACCUCUUUUCUCCAGAGAUCCAGAAGUUGAUUUUGAUAAUGGUAUUUUACCAUAGCAAUAGAAAAACAACUGAUAAAGAAGAUAGUACUAGGAAGUUGACUACUGCUAUAAAG